UAGGGAAUCUUGGACAAUGGGCGAAAGCCUGAUCCAGCGACGCCGCGUGGGGGACGAAGGCCCUCGGGUUGUAAACCCCUGUUGUUGGGAAAGAAGCCGGGCGCAUAGCCCGGUGACGGUACCCAACGAGGAAGCCCCGGCUAACUACGUGCCAGCAGCCGCGGUAAGACGUAGGGGGCGAGCGUUAUCCGGAUUCACUGGGCGUAAAGGGCGCGCAGGCGGCUACGUAAGUCCGGCGUGAAAUCCCAUGGCUUAACUGUGGAACUGCGUCGGAUACUGCGUUGGCUUGAGGAUGGUAGAGGCCAUUAGAACUAGCGGUGUAGCGGUGAAAUGCGCAGAUAUCGCUAGGAAUGCCGGUGGCGAAGGCGGAUGGCUGGGCCACUCCUGACGCUGAGGCGCGAAAGCUAGGGGAGCGAACCGGAUUAGAUACCCGCGUAGUCC
rnacentral:rRNA from 1 species